GCGAUGAAGAAGGUUAAUUAACUUAAAUAUGUGAAUUUAAUGAUUUGAAGCAACUCAUUAUCGAUUGAUAAAUGUGUAUAUACAAGAAAAUCGACUUUAUACUUAAACAUAAGGUUGUGGAAUUCUUGCAAAUUCACUGCCGUUAUGGCUUUAUGUCCACUUCAGUGAGAUGAAGAAGGUUAAUUAACUUAAAUAUGUGAAUUUAAUGAUUUGAAGCAACUCAUUAUCGAUUGAUAAAUGUGUAUAUACAAGAAAAUCGACUUUAUACUUAAACAUAAGGUUGUGGAAUUAUUGCAAAUUCACUGCCGUUAUGGCUUUAUGUCCACUUCAGUGAGAUGAAGAAGGUUAAUUAACUUAAAUAUGUGAAUUUAAUGAUUUGAAGCAACUCAUUAUCGAUUGAUAAAUGUGUAUAUACAAGAAAAUCGACUUUAUACUUAAACAUAAGGUUGUGGAAUUAUUGCAAAUUCACUGCCGUUAUGGCUUUAUGUCCACUUCAGUGAGAUGAAGAAGGUUAAUUAACUUAAAUAUGUGAAUUUAAUGAUUUGAAGCAACUCAUUAUCGAUUGAUAAAUGUGUUUAUACAAGAAAAUCGACUUUAUACUUAAAUAUAAGAUAACGGAAUUCUUCCAAAUUCACUGCCGUUAUGGCUUUAUGUCCACUCCAGUGAGAUGAAGAAGGUUAAUUAACUUAAAUAUGUGAAUAUAAUGAUUUGAAGCAACUCAUUAUCGAUUGAUAAAUGUGUAUAUACAAGAAAAUCGUCGUUGUACUUAAACAUAAGGUUGUGGAAUUCUUGCAAAUUCACUGCCGUUAUGGCUUUAUGUCCACUUCAGUGAGAUGAAGAAGGUUAAUUAACUUAAAUAUGUGAAUUUAAUGAUUUGAAGCAACUCAUUAUCGAUUGAUAAAUGUGUAUAUACAAGAAAAUCGUCGUUGUACUUAAACAUAAGGUUGUGGAAUUCUUGCAAAUUCACUGCCGUUAUGGAUUUAUGUCCACUUCAGUGAGAUGAAGAAGGUUAAUUAACUUAAAUAUGUGAAUUUAAUGAUUUGAAGCAACUCAUUAUCGAUUGAUAAAUGUGUUUAUACAAGAAAAUCGACUUUAUACUUAAAUAUAAGAUAACGGAAUUCUUCCAAAUUCACUGCCGUUAUGGCUUUAUGUCCACUCCAGUGAGAUGAAGAAGGUUAAUUAACUUAAAUAUGUGAAUUUAAUGAUUUGAAGCAACUUAUUAUCGAUUGAUAAAUGUGUUUAUACAAGAAAAUCGACUUUAUACUUAAACAUAAGGUUGUGGAAUUAUUGCAAAUUCACUGCCGUUAUGGCUUUAUGUCCACUCCAGUGAGAUGAAGAAGGUUAAUUAACUUAAAUAUGUGAAUUUAAUGAUUUGAAGCAACUCAUUAUCGAUUGAUAAAUGUGUAUAUACAAGAAAAUCGACUUUAUACUUAAAUAUAAGAUAACGGAAUUCUUCCAAAUUCACUGCCGUUAUGGCUUUAUGUCCACUCCAGUGAGAUGAAGAAGGUUAAUUAACUUAAAUAUGUGAAUUUAAUGAUUUGAAGCAACUUAUUAUCGAUUGAUAAAUGUGUUUAUACAAGAAAAUCGACUUUAUACUUAAACAUAAGGUUGUGGAAUUAUUGCAAAUUCACUGCCGUUAUGGCUUUAUGUCCACUCCAGUGAGAUGAAGAAGGUUAAUUAACUUAAAUAUGUGAAUUUAAUGAUUUGAAGCAACUCAUUAUCGAUUGAUAAAUGUGUAUAUACAAGAAAAUCGACUUUAUACUUAAAUAUAAGAUAACGGAAUUCUUCCAAAUUCACUGCCGUUAUGGCUUUAUGUCCACUCCAGUGAGAUGAAGAAGGUUAAUUAACUUAAAUAUGUGAAUUUAAUGAUUUGAAGCAACUUAUUAUCGAUUGAUAAAUGUGUUUAUACAAGAAAAUCGACUUUAUACUUAAACAUAAGGUUGUGGAAUUAUUGCAAAUUCACUGCCGUUAUGGCUUUAUGUCCACUCCAGUGAGAUGAAGAAGGUUAAUUAACUUAAAUAUGUGAAUUUAAUGAUUUGAAGCAACUCAUUAUCGAUUGAUAAAUGUGUAUAUACAAGAAAAUCGUCGUUGUACUUAAACAUAAGGUUGUGGAAUUAUUGCAAAUUCACUGCCGUUAUGGCUUUAUGUCCACUCCAGUGAGAUGAAGAAGGUUAAUUAACUUAAAUAUGUGAAUUUUAUGAUUUGAAGCAUCUCAUUAUCGAUUGAUAAAUGUGUAUAUACAAGAAAAUCGUCGUUGUACUUAAACAUAAGGUUGUGGAAUUCUUGCAAAUUCACUGCCGUUAUGGCUUUAUGUCCACUCCAGUGAGAUGAAGAAGGUUAAUUAACUUAAAUAUGUGAAUUUAAUGAUUUGAAGCAACUUAUUAUCGAUUGAUAAAUGUGUUUAUACAAGAAAAUCGACUUUAUACUUAAAUAUUAGGUUGUGGAAUUCUUGCAAAUUCACUGCCGUUAUGGCUUUAUGUCCACUUCAGUGAGAUGAAGAAGGUUAAUUAACUUAAAUAUGUGAAUUUUAUGAUUUGAAGCAUCUCAUUAUCGAUUGAUAAAUGUGUAUAUACAAGAAAAUCGACUUUAUACUUAAACAUAAGGUUGUGGAAUUAUUGCAAAUUCACUGCCGUUAUGGAUUUAUGUCCAC